CCAGUCGCUUGCGCUUGCGCUUCCGCACCAGACAAGGCAUGGAGCACGCGCUUUGGGGAGGCACAGAAGGCAAGGAAUGUCUGUCGGCUGCACUUCCAGGGGCAGAAGGGGCUUUUUGGUCAUUGUGUGUGGGAAACUGAACGGGAAAUCAGUCAGUAAUCUCUCGUCCGCUGCUGAACCUCACCCCCUUCUCCACUGAUCGCUCCUCAGCUUGCUGCUACGAGUUCCUCACUUUGCGUUUCACACGGGUGGGCAGGAGCCCGCCUUCACCAACUGCUGCCUGACAGAAGCAAGAGGAAUCUCAGUGUACAUUCCCUUCACGUGUCCUUUUGUUGCAAAUAGGCGGCAGGAGGACCGGCAGCAGCAGCAGCAGCAGCAGGAGGACCAGGACGACGAGGCCGAGGAGGAGCGGAGCCUGUGGACGGCCUUCAAGAAGCUGCGGGUGGACGCGGCGCGCAGAUGGAUCGCGGCUCAGCCUGUGGGCGACGGGACGGUUCUCACGGCGCCGAGGAGAAGAGCUGCAGAUGGAGCCCAGCAACCAUCCGUCUGCUGCCAGGAAGCACGGAAUGGGUAAAACACACCGUCAGCUGCACCCCACGUUUGUUCUGCUUUCGGUCACUUAAAACUUGCUCGCUGUUGCCAGUGAGAGUUCUCACGCAAG